GACGAACGCUGGCGGCGUGCUUAACACAUGCAAGUCGAACGGAAAGGCCCUGCUUUUGUGGGGUGCUCGAGUGGCGAACGGGUGAGUAACACGUGAGUAACCUGCCCUUGACUUUGGGAUAACUUCAGGAAACUGGGGCUAAUACCGGAUAGGAGCUCCUGCUGCAUGGUGGGGGUUGGAAAGUUUCGGCGGUUGGGGAUGGACGCGCGGCUUAUCAGCUUGCUGGUGGGGUAGUGGCUUACCAAGGCUUUGACGGGUAGCCGGCCUGAGAGGGUGACCGGCCACAUUGGGACUGAGAGAGGGCCCGGACUCCUACGGGAGGCAGCAGGGAGGAAUGUAGCACAAUGAGCGGAAGCCUGAUGCAGCGACGCCCCGUGCGUGAAGGCUGCCGUCGGGUUGUAAACCGCUUUCGCUUGUGACGGAGCGAGAGUGACGGUACUGGAUGAAGAAGCACCGGCUAACUACGUG
rnacentral:rRNA from 1 species